rnacentral:rRNA from 1 species
CACGCCGUAAACGAUGAGUGUUAGGUGCCUGACUCAGUUGGGUACCGCAGCUAACGCAUUAAACACUCCGCCUGGGGAGUACGCGCGCAAGCGUGAAACUCAAAGGAAUUGACGGGGACCCGCACAAGCAGCGGAGCAUGUGGUUUAAUUCGAAGCAACGCGAAGAACCUUACCAAGUCUUGACAUAUUACGGCGGGGUAUAGAGAUAUACUCCUAGGACUUCGGUCUACUGUAAUACAGGUGG